rnacentral:rRNA from 1 species
CAAUAGCGUAUAUUAAAGUUGUUGCGGUUAAAAGCUCGUAGUUGGAUUUCUGUUGAGGACGACCGGUCCGCCCUCUGGGUGAGUAUCUGGCUCGGCCUUGGCAUCUUCUUGGUGAACGUAGCUGCACUUGACUGUGUGGUACGGUAACCAGGACUUUUACUUUGAGGAAAUUAGAGUGUUUCAAGCAGGCAUACGCCUUGAAUACAUUAGCAUGGAAUAAUAAGAUAGGACCUCGGUUCUAUUUUGUUGGUUUCUAGAGCUGAGGUAAUGAUUAAUAGGGAUAGUUGGGGGCAUUCGUAUUUAACUGUCAGAGGUGAAAUUCUUGGAUUUGUUAAAGACGAACUACUGCGAAAGCAUUUGCCAAGGUAUUGUUUUCAUUGAUAC